rnacentral:rRNA from 1 species
UACGUAGGGUGCAAGCGUUGUCCGGAAUUAUUGGGCGUAAAGAGCUCGUAGGCGGUUUGUCGCGUCGGCUGUGAAAACUCGGGGCUCAACCCCGAGCCUGCAGUCGGUACGGGCAAACUAGAGUGUGGUAGGGGAGACUGGAAUUCCUGGUGUAGCGGUGAAAUGCGCAGAUAUCAGGAGGAACACCGGCGGCGAAGGCGGGUCUCUGGGCCAUAACUGACGCUGAGGAGCGAAAGCGUGGGGAGCGAACAGG